rnacentral:tRNA from 1 species
GCCUGGGUGGCUCAGUUGCUUAAGCGCCCGACUUCGGCUCAGGUCGUGAUCUCACAGUUUGUGGGUUCGAGCCCUGCCUUGGGCU